rnacentral:rRNA from 1 species
ACGACCCUGUGAAGCUUCGGUGGAACAGGUGGGCGACGAGUGGCGGACGGGUGAGUAACGCGUAGGAAUCUGCCCUAAAGUGGGGGACAACCCGAGGAAACUCGGGCUAAUACCGCAUAUACCCUACGGGGUAAAGAAGGCCUCUAUACUAUGCUUUCGCUUUAGGAGGAGCCUGCGUCGGAUUAGCUUGUUGGUAGGGUAAUGGCCUACCAAGGCAACGAUCCGUAGCUGGUCUGAGAGGAUGACC